rnacentral:tRNA from 1 species
UAUAUUUUAGUGUUUUAUGCAUAGGAAUUUUUGGAGUUUCAGGAAAUAAGAAGAUUAUUAAAUAUAA